AGUAUUAGCUGUAGGGCCUUCAUCCUUCCAAUCAUAUUUAGGUGCCCGUAUCCUGGUAUCCUCUUGGAUAGUAUGGCAGCAGUGCUUGCCUGGACACCCACCGAUCUCCAUGUCAACAGUGGGUACUGACCUUUCCUCAGUGAUAUUCCCCCAGGCCUGUGGCCAAAAGGGGGUUCGGGCACAGAUAGAUCAGACCAACGAUGGGCACAGGUAUAGCAGGGCAGACAGAAGGGCACAGACAUAGUAGGCCAAUCAAAU